AUUGAACGCUGGCGGCAGGCCUAACACAUGCAAGUCGAGCGGAGCGGCGGACGGGUGAGUAAUGCCUAGGAAUCUGCCUGGUAGUGGGGGAUAACGUCCGGAAACGGGCGCUAAUACCGCAUACUAUCAGAUGAGCCUAGGUCGGAUUAGCUAGUUGGUGGGGUAAAGGCCUACCAAGGCGACGAUCCGUAACUGGUCUGAGAGGAUGAUCAGUCAAACGGGAACUGAGAAACGGUCCAGACUCCUACGGGAGGCAGCGGGGGGAAAUAUGGAACAAGGGGCGAAAGCCGGAUCCAGCCAUGCCGGGUGUGUGAAGAAGGUCUUCGGAUUGUAAAGUACUUUCAGCGGGGAGGCGUUACCCGCAGAAGAAGCACCGGCUAACUCCGUGCCAGAGCCGCGGUAAUAC
rnacentral:rRNA from 1 species